rnacentral:rRNA from 1 species
UGGGGAAUAUUGCACAAUGGGCGCAAGCCUGAUGCAGCGACGCCGCGUGAGGGAUGACGGCCUUCGGGUUGUAAACCUCUUUCAGCUCCGACGAAGGGUUUCCUGACGGUAGGGGCAGAAGAAGCGCCGGCCAACUACGUGCCAGCAGCCGCGGUAAGACGUAGGGCGCGAGCGUUGUCCGGAUUUAUUGGGCGUAAAGAGCUCGUAGGCGGCUGGUCGCGUCGACUGUGAAAACCCGCAGCUCAACUGUGUGGUCUGCAGUCGAUACGGGCUGGCUGGAGUUCGGUAGGGGAGACUGGAAUUCCUGGUGUAGCGGUGAAAUGCGCAGAUAUCAGGAGGAACACCGGUGGCGAAGGCGGGUCUCUGGGCCGAUACUGACGCUGAGGAGCGAAAGCGUGGGGAGCAAACAG